GGAGACGAAUAAAAAAUUUGGGAGCAAUAUUGAAGUUGACAAGGCAGGGGUAGGAGGAGCCAUGAACUUUUUCGACGCCAAGGCGCGAGAAGAUAGGGACCGAGAAAAUAACAAAAACGAAUGCCUAGAGGAGCAAAGAAAGGACUACGAAAAGAAAAGACAGGAUAAGGAAGCCAAUAAAGUUGAACAAGAGAAAAGGGCUUCUUUUAAAGCCAGGGCACAGCAAUUCGAAUAGGGGAUACAUAGUAUGUUAUACAACAGGUUCAAAUGCUAGCUCCCUCCACCGAUGACAACAGCGAUAGUUACAUAUUAGACAUAGCAAUCUCCCUUCGUACUUAUUUAAACAUGCAAGAUGGUGUAAUUCCAAUCUCUUGCCUUAAAACAAUGUUUUGUUAAACUGCAAAAUCAUAACAUUGUGCAUUUUUGACUCUAUGCUGUUCGAAAUACUAAAUACUACAUAACAAGCUUUCAAAAGUAACUUGUCUCAAGUGACAAUUUUAUUUAACUUCACAUCUCAGCCAACAUAGUUCAAGGGCAAAUGAAUAGGAAGAGCCACCUGGUAACGCUAAUUUUAUAAUGGGCGCCUCGGUAUGUUUUUACGGUACAAUUGUGCAACCAAAUAGGGUUGCUAUUACUAUGCGUUAGUACUAUUACUGUGCAAUUGCACGCCUAACGCACGAGGCUGCGUUGAAGUGGAAGGCUAGCUUGAAACUGCAAGCCUCGUCUACUCUGGCGCGCAUCAAGUCGCAGGUCACUCUACAAGAACCCCAUCUUUUACAAAACCCCGUCGAAUCGCCCUCCAACAGAAUGAAUCUGUUUGACAGUGAAUUAGUUUGUGGUUCUGACCAGUCACUAACGACUACUGCCAUUUCACAGCAGGACCUGCUCAUAACUAGUCACGCUAGGUAUAAGCUGGAAGAAAUACUGCCUUAAAUACUAAUUGAAAUAGAAUCUCGAGUAAUUUUAAGUAAAAGGGGUCAUCAACCUACCGUAGCACCAAAAACUCAGUAGAAACAC